rnacentral:rRNA from 1 species
GACGAACGCUGGCGGCGUGCUUAACACAUGCAAGUCGAACGGUGAAAGCGGAGCUUGCUCCGCUGGAUCAGUGGCGAACGGGUGAGUAACACGUGGGCAACCUGCCCUUCACUUCGGGAUAACUCCGGGAAACCGGGGCUAAUACCGGAUAUGACCUCUGCGGGCAUCAGCGGAGGUGGAAAGUUUUUCGGUGAAGGAUGGGCCCGCGGCCUAUCAGCUUGUUGGUGAGGUAGUGGCUCACCAAGGCGACGACUGGUAGCCGGCCUGAGAGGGCGACCGGCCAAACUGGGAUGGAGCAACGGCCCAGACUCCUACGGGAGGCAGCAGUGGGGAAGAUUGCGCAAGGGGCGAAAGCCUGACGCAGCAACGCCGCGGGCGGGAUGACGGCCUUCGGGUUGUAAACCGCUUUCAGCAGGGAAGAAGCCGCAAGGUGACGGUACCUGCAGAAGAAGCACCGGCUAACUACGUGCCAGCAGCCGCCGUAA